UAAAGUUCAGUGAGGUUGAGCCUCCAAGGUAGCGCAUUUUCUCUAUCAAUUUCUUUAUGCAAGCAGAGACCUUCAUUCAUUGCUACAUUGAUUCCUCAAGUCUCAUACAAUAUUCAUAAAUAAGAUUUAGAUUACAGUAGGAGAGUCCAAUAUCUCGUUGAGCUUAUGAGUUGUAAACUGAAUUAUGGUUUUGUAUGGUUCAGUUUUUCGGUUUAACUUUGGACACGUAAUUAGUUUUACCCCCCGGAAAACCAAGAAAAUUUAAAAUUUAUAUAUGGGAAGUGGAAGUGGAACUGAACUGUUUGUGUUUAUUUGAUGAAGUUGCCAGUUUAUAAUAUUUUGUCUUUCUCGUGGACAACCUUUUUUUUUCAGUUUCAUUUAAAAACUGAGAUUAGGUGUUUUUCUAAAGCUUUAAUUGGAUUGGAUUUUGAGGGAUCUUGCUCCUUUCCACUCAUGUGCACGACCCAUUUUGUAAUAGCCCAUUUUCAGUGAAAUCAGAACAGUGAUUUCGAGACCACAAAUCUGAGCUAGAAAGAAAAUUUAUUUUAAUAUUAUUGCAUGGUCCACAUUAUGAUAGAAAUGUUAUAUGAAAAUUCUAAUAAGAAAAUUUUACCGAUUAUGUGUUUAAUUAGGAAAAGGACCAAAUUGCAUAAAAUGCAAAUGUUGGAUUCUAGUAGCUAGAAGGAUCAAAUAGUUAUGGUAUUUAAAACUUGAGGUCUUUAUAUGGUAAUUAGACCAUUAAAGAAAAGUUAGUAGAUAUUUUUGAUGAUUCAUCCAUAGAAAUUUAGAAAAGGGAAAGGAUUAAAUUGGAAAUGAGAAAAAUUAAUGGAUGAUUAAUAAUUAAUAAGAAAUAAAAAUCAUUUUAUAUUAUCUUCUUCCCCCAAACAUUCCAUGAAAACCCUAGGAAAGAGAAAACAAGAUUUCUUGGCUUAAUUGGGUAAGUACUCAAGCCCAUUUUUUAGUCAUUUUUAUAUUUUUAAAACCGGAAUAGUCUAAUCUAUCUAUUUGGGGGAUUGAUUUGAAAAGUUAUCAAAGUAUAAAAAUUUUUCCAUGAAUGAAUAUGUUAAUAAUUUGAAUUUUUUACAAAGUGAAUUUUGAUGAAAACAUGAUUUAGGGACUAAAUUGAAAAGUUAUAAAAGUUAUAGAAAAAUUUUGAAUUUUGUGAAAUACUUGUGCUGUUAAGGUUAUACUAAAAUUUUGGUUAGGCUUGGAAUAAGGAUUAAAUUGCAUGAAGUUCAUUUUCCGAGCCUAGAGAUGAAAUUGAAAUUUAUGAAAAGUUUAGGGCCAAAAUGGUAAUUUUACCUAGAGUGUAAAUUGAAUAUAAUUAAAUAUGAAUUGUACUAAAUUGAUGAUUAAAUUCAUUUAUAUAGAUCCGGAUAACUCAAAUUCGAAGCUAGAUUGAGGAAAAGAAAAAGUUUCAGAUUAGUAUAUUUUUUUAUACGAACUAUUAUCGAGGUAAGUUCGUGUAACUUAAUUAUACAUGUUAAUAUGGUUCAAUUGAAUAUUGUAUUUGAUUUGAAUGUGGUAUAUGUUUAUGUGAUUUAUAUGAAUGUUAUAAUUACAUGAAAUGAUCACAUGAUUGGAAAUGUGUUUAAAAUGUUAAGUUCUGUUGGAAUAAUGAAAAUUGAUGGAUACGUAUGGUUUCCUGUAUGUGAAUGUGAUUCUGUAUAUGUUGCAGACAGGAUUUAGCUUGGACGAGUAAUCCUGAUAUAGCUCUCUCGAGCAUCCUAAUGUAUAGUUCCUGCGAGCAUCUUGAUCGAUAGUGAUUUAGCAUGUGUUGCGCACUAUCGCAGCUCUUUGUGAGCGUUCUGAUAUAAGCUCUUAUGAGUUUCCUGACAUGGCUCACUUGAACUCCCUGUUACCUUAUCCGGUGCUCCUUGAUAUUAACUCUUCGGAGUUAUCUAUUCAAAGCUCUAUGAGCUCUCUGAAUAAAACUCUUAUGAGUUUCCUGUGUAGCCCAGAUAAGUGUCCUUUUACAUGGCUCAACUGAGCAUCCUGAUAUGUGGUUCAAGAGUGUGCUUCUUGAAUAAUUUCCUUAUUGGGUACCCCUAAUUAUAAAUUGAUGAAUUACAGAUUUGUACACCUUGAGUGUACUAUUCGAGUAUCCAUCGAUAUUUCAAUAAUUCAACGGAUAAAAUUCUCGACUUGAGAAAAAAAUGAUGAGUUAAAUAGAAAUAUGCCUUGAAUGCUUUUGAAUUAUUUGAUGAAGGGUUAUAUGAUGAGCUCAUCUAUGCUUAUUUGAUAUACAAAUGUAUUAUAUGACUAACUUGCUUGAUUGAGUAUAUGUGUUUAGGUAAACUUGUCAAAUUGAUGAAAAAUAUGUUAAUUGUAUGCUUAACAUUAAUAAAUGAAAUUGGUAAGUUUUAAUUCCUGUUAUACGAACAUACUAAGCAUUAAAUGCUAACUAGGUUUUUUUUUUCUCUGUUUUAUAGUGCUCGGAAGCUCACGAAGGUAGAAGAUCGGUUAGAGCAUCAUCACACUAUCCACUAGCUUGUUUUGGUAUAAAUAGUAAACUUAUUUUGGCAUAAUGGCAUGUAUAGGUAACUUGGCCAUUGUUGACAUAUAAAUGUGGUUUGUAAACUAGCAAUUGGAAUGACUACUAAUGAUUUGUUUUGGUAUAUAUUAUGACAAAUACCUAUAUUUUAAGUAUAUUGAGUAUGGUUGAUCAAGUUAUGCUUAAUAUAUAUAGUUAAACAAGG
rnacentral:lncRNA from 1 species